rnacentral:rRNA from 1 species
CUGAUGCAGCGACGCCGCGUGUGGGAGUAAGCCCUUCGGGGUGUAAACCACUGUCAGGGACUACCAAGCAAUGGAGGUGAAUAAUCUCCUGCGUUUGAGGCGUCCCAGAGGAAGUCACUGCUAACUUCGUGCCAGCAGCCGAGGUAAUACGAAUGUGGCAAGCGUUGUUCGGAAUCACUGGGCUUAAAGAGCACGUAGGCGGACUGUCGAGCGUCUUGUGAAAUCCCUCGGCUUCACCGAGGAAUUGCUGGGCGAACUGACAGUCUUGAGGCAAGUAGGGGCGCACGGAACUCUUGGUGGAGCCGUGCAAUGCGUAGAUAUCAAGGAGGAACGCCAGAGGCGAAGGCGGUGCGCUGGGCUUGACCUGACGCUGAGGUGCGAAAGCCAGGGGAGCGAACGGGAUUAGAUACCCCGGUAGUCCUGGCCAUAAACGAUGUCUACUAGAUCUGAGGUGUUCUGACACACUUCUGGUCGAAACAAAAGCGUUAAGUAGACCGCCUGGGGAGUACGGUCGCAAGGCUAAAACUCAAAGGAAUUGACGGGGGCUCACGCAAGCGGUGGAGCAUGUUGCUUAAUUCGAUGCAACGCGAAGAACCUUAUCCUGGGCUUGACAUGCUUGGAUGCCCAUCUAGAAAUAGAGUAGGCUGCCCUUCGGGGUGAAACUUGCACAGGUGCUGCAUGGCUGUCGUCAGCUCGUGUCGUGAGAUGUUGGGUUAAGUCCCGUAACGAGCGAAACCCUUGUCGUUAGUUGCCAGCGAGUAAAGUCGGGGACUCUAACGAGACUGCCGGUCGCUCAACCGGAGGAAGGUGGGGAUGACGUCAAGUCCUCAUGGCCUUUAUGCCCAGGGCUGCAAACGUGCUACAAUGGCGUGUACAAACCGACGCAAGACCGCGA